UCCGUAGGUGAACCUGCGGAAGGAUCAUUACCGAGUUGAUUCGGGCUCCGGCCCGAUCCUCCCACCCUUUGUGUACCUACCUCUGUUGCUUUGGCGGGCCGCGGUCCUCCGCGGCCGCCCCCCUCCCCGGGGGGGUGGCCAGCGCCCGCCAGAGGACCAUCAAACUCCAGUCAGUAAACGAUGCAGUCUGAAAAACAUUUAAUAAACUAAAACUUUCAACAACGGAUCUCUUGGUUCUGGCAUCGAUGAAGAACGCAGCGAAAUGCGAUAAGUAAUGUGAAUUGCAGAAUUCAGUGAAUCAUCGAAUCUUUGAACGCACAUUGCGCCCUUUGGUAUUCCGAAGGGCAUGCCUGUUCGAGCGUCAUUACAACCCUCAAGCUCUGCUUGGUAUUGGGCACCGUCCUUUGCGGGCGCGCCUCAAAGACCUCGGCGGUGGCGUCUUGCCUCAAGCGUAGUAGAACAUACAUCUCGCUUCGGAGCGCAGGGCGUCGCCCGCCGGACGAACCUUCUGAACUUUUCUCAAGGUUGACCUCAGAUCAGGUAGGGAUACCCGCUGAACUUAAGCAUAUCAAUAAGCGGAGGA
rnacentral:rRNA from 1 species